AGAUUGAACGCUAGCGGGAUGCUUUACACAUGCAAGUCGAACGGCAGCGCGGACUUCGGUCUGGCGGCGAGUGGCGAACGGGUGAGUAAUAUAUCGGAACGUGCCCAGUAGCGGGGGAUAACUACGCGAAAGCGUGGCUAAUACCGCAUACGCCCUACGGGGGAAAGGGGGGGAUCGCAAGACCUCUCACUAUUGGAGCGGCCGAUAUCAGAUUAGCUAGUUGGUGAGGUAAAGGCUCACCAAGGCGAACGAUCUGUAGCUGGUUUGAGAGGACGACCAGCCACACUGGGACUGAGACACGGCCCAGACUCCGUACGGGAGGCAGCAGGUGGGGGAAUUUUGGGAC
rnacentral:rRNA from 1 species